rnacentral:rRNA from 1 species
UACGUAGGGUGCAAGCGUUAAUCGGAAUUACUGGGCGUAAAGCGUGCGCAGGCGGUUUUGUAAGUCUGUCGUGAAAUCCCCGGGCUCAACCUGGGAAUUGCGAUGGAGACUGCAAGGCUAGAAUCUGGCAGAGGGGGGUAGAAUUCCACGUGUAGCAGUGAAAUGCGUAGAUAUGCGGAGGAACACCGAUGGCGAAGGCAGCCUCCUGGGAUAACACUGACGCUCAUGCACGAAAGCGUGGGGAGCAAACGAGG